GAUGAACGCUGGCGGCGUGCCUAAUACAUGCAAGUCGAGCGAACAGACGAGGAGCUUGCUCCUCUGACAUUAGCGGCGGACGGGUGAGUAACACGUGGAUAACCUACCUAUAAGACUGGGAUAACUUCGGGAAACCGGAGCUAAUACCGGAUAAUAUAUUGAACCGCAUGGUUCAAUAGUGAAAGACGGUUUUGCUGUCACUUAUAGAUGGAUCCGCGCCGCAUUAGCUAGUUGGUAAGGUAACGGCUUACCAAGGCAACGAUGCGUAGCCGACCUGAGAGGGUGAUCGGCCACACUGGAACUGAGACACGGUCCAGACUCCUACGGGAGGCAGCAGUAGGGAAUCUUCCGCAAUGGGCGAAAGCUUGACGGAGCAACGCCGCGUGAGUGAUGAAGGUCUUCGGAUCGUAAAACUCUGUUAUUAGGGAAGAACAAAUGUGUAAGUAACUAUGCACGUCUUGACGGUACCUAAUCAGAAAGCCACGGCUAACUACGUG
rnacentral:rRNA from 1 species